rnacentral:misc_RNA from 1 species
GACGCAUUCUCAGUCGAUGAGAAACCUUCGUUAGAGGGAGACGUACUGCCGGUCAGCUCGUUAAUUUUCUACUUACAAGACUGAGUGCUCCAGUAUCUGUGUUGCAGCUGUGUGUAUGUGUGUAUCAAGAUUCUGAGAGGACGUGUCGUGAAGGGUGUCUGUGCCAGCCGCAUUUGUCACUCUCGAGAUCGCGUUUCGGCAGCCUGAAAUCGAUAAAAGGAAUGUAUCUCUUUUUCGGCAUCCCUUGCUGUAACGUCAGGGUGUGAAAUGGUUAUACGCCAAACAUUUACUAGAAUGACUUAGUAAUUUUUCUACCGUGCGAUUAGUCGGAGUUUUUAGUUGUGCAAGACGAUAUCUGUGCCACUGGCGAGUACAGUCCGGCACCGGCAGCCGAUUUUUGACAGUUCGGAAGUGAAAGUACUUUUUGCAUUUCGUGACAUUUAUUUUACAAGGUGUUUUUCUCAGGUAAUAGGUACCGUUUAUGUGUGAAUUUGUGAAACUGUUGUUUUUAUCGUAGGGACCGAAUAGUUAUCUCGCGAUCUGGCCAUUACUCUCUUGUUGUCGACGGUACAAUUGAACAAAUAAGGAAUAAAGUCUAAUAAUAAGAUAUUAGAGUGAAGUGUGUAGCCGUAGCUUGCCGUGCCUUAAACCGGUUCCAGAGCCUGGAGCCAGCAGGAGCGGAGUGGAGCGAAGCGAGGACAUUGCUGUAGCCGGCCUAGCCAAACACUUACACACGUGAUUGUGAAGUGCAGUGUCCUGUGCAUCAUCGGUUGUGUCUCAACCCGUCACGGAGCGCCUUAUCAACCCUUGUCUGUUGUCAAAGGAUGCUAGGAGGAGAGUGACGGCGCGUGCGGGCGGACCAUGGGCCACGUGUUCGUCCUGCUUCUAGUCGGAGUGAGCAUAGCCUCCGCCGAGCAAGUGGUUCUGCUGGAUACGGCUACAGAGCCCACACUGGAGUGGACACGCUAUCCCUUCGGUCCGGCCGCUAACACGCCAGGGUGGGUCGAGGAGAGUUACACCAACUUCGAGAAGGGGAUCAACUGGCGCUCGUACGUGGUGUGUGACGUAGCCUAUAACAAUGUCAACAACUGGUUGUGGACGCCGUUUGUGGAGCGCGGCAUCGCCAACCGCAUCUACAUCGAGAUCAAGUUCACCAUCCGCGAUUGUUCACUGUUCCCCGGCAACGCACUCUCGUGCAAGGAGACCUUCUCGCUGCUCUACUACGAGUUCGACGCCGCAACUCGCGAGCCACCCCCCUGGGAACCGGAGAGCUACAAACUCAUCGGUCGCAUUGCUGCUGGGGAAGGCAGAUUCAACACAGCCAGCGACAACAUCAUCAACACGGAGACCAAGUCUAUCCCUGUCAACAAGAAGGGAGUGUAUUUUGCUUUCCGGGAUCAGGGUGCCUGCAUCUCUCUCCUGGCUAUCAAGGUUUACUACAUAACGUGUCCAGAGGUAACCAUCAACUUUGCCCACUUCCCCAUGACACCGACAGGCCGGGAGGUAACACUGAUAGAGCAGACAACUGGAACGUGUGUGGACAACGCAGAAGUAAUCGACACCCCGACCUAUCUGUGCAAGGGCGAUGGAAAAUGGUCCCUCCCCACUGGUGGUUGCAAGUGUAAGGCGGGCUUCGAACCCGACUUUGAAAAGCAGACCUGCAAUGUGUGUCCACCUGGCAAGUACAAACAUGCUACAGGAGACGAGCACUGCCAGCCCUGUCCCGCCCACAGCAAAGCAUCAGAUUACGGGCUGGCAGAAUGUCGCUGUAACUCUGGCUACUAUCGCUCACCCAAGGACCUCAAGAGCAUGGCUUGCACUCAACCCCCUUCAGCCCCCCAGAAUCUGACAGUGAAUUUUGUGGACCAGUCUACAGUUAUUCUGUCGUGGAACCCUCCCAGUUUUCUGGGUGGCCGUUCCGACACUGUGUUCCGAGUGGAGUGUGAUGCUUGUGGGCCAAGUGUAAUCUACUCCCCUAACUCGGAGAUAUUCAAUGACACCAAGAUCACCAUAUCCGGAUUGAGUCCUGUGACUACCUACCGGUUUCAAGUGUUCUCAGCAAAUGGUGUAAGUGACAUGACCAAUGAGGCUGGAGACUUUGUGGACAUCACUGUGACUACAGAAGCAUCAGUCAUGUCUGCGUCCGUCAACAACGUGCGCGUUACAUCCGUCAAGGCUGCCGAGAUCACACUUACCUGGGACCCACCCUUCACACCAGAAGCGGACAUGGACUCUCCCGACCAUGUUGAGAUAUAUGAGGUCCGAUACUUUUCUCGUCAUGAUGAAAUCAACGCAACAAGCAAGAUGACAAAAGUAAACCAAAUAGUUAUCAACUCUCUUCGUCAGAGAACUGAGUACGGAUUCCAGGUUCGGGCCAAGACAACUCACGGCUGGGGUGACUUUAGUCAGACUGUCUUCAAGACAACAGGCCAAGUUCUGGGAACAGCUUAUAUAGGAGAUGAGGACAAUAUGCAAGUAAGAAUAAUUGCUGGAGCUACUGUGGCUGUCGUCGUUCUUCUAGUCAUCAUCAUCAUCAUGACGGUUCUAUUCUUAAGAAGCCGAACCAAUGACGAGUGCAACAAAAAACAGCCAAGUGACUGUGAUACCCUGGAGUAUCGGAACGGAGAAGUGCACUGCAGCCUGGAUAACCCACCCAUUGUUACCACCCAUACCAACAGCAUGACUACGCCUCUGUUCACACAAGUGGGGGCGGCCAACUCCCGCACGUACAUCGACCCUCACACAUACGAGGAUCCCAACCAAGCGGUGCGUGAGUUCGCACGGGAGAUAGAUGCCUCUUACAUCACCAUCGAAGCUAUCAUAGGGGGAGGGGAGUUUGGCGACGUUUGUCGAGGAAAGUUGAAGUUGCCCCCCGAUGGCCGGACGGAGAUUGAUGUUGCUAUCAAGACUCUGAAGCCAGGUUCAGCGGACAAGGCUCGCAAUGACUUCCUCACCGAGGCUUCCAUUAUGGGCCAGUUUGAACACCCCAAUGUGAUCUUCCUGCAGGGAGUUGUCACCAAGAGUAAUCCUGUCAUGAUCAUUACAGAGUAUAUGGAGAAUGGCUCUUUAGACACGUUCCUUAGGGCAAAUGACGGCAAGUUCCAAGUGCUGCAGCUAGUGGGCAUGCUGCGAGGGAUCGCGUCCGGAAUGCAGUAUCUGUCUGAGAUGAACUAUGUUCACCGAGAUUUGGCUGCACGUAAUGUCCUGGUCAACGCACAGCUAGUCUGCAAAAUUGCCGAUUUUGGACUGAGUAGAGAGAUAGAGAGUACAACAGAAGGGGCCUACACAACAAGGGGAGGGAAAAUCCCUGUGAGAUGGACGGCGCCUGAAGCAAUUGCUUUCCGGAAGUUCACUUCAGCCUCAGACGUUUGGUCGUUUGGAAUAGUAUGCUGGGAGGUCAUGUCGUAUGGUGAGCGACCAUACUGGAAUUGGAGUAACCAAGAUGUCAUCAAAUCUAUUGAGAAGGGUUACAGGUUACCAGCACCAAUGGACUGUCCGGAGGCUAUUUAUCAGCUGAUGCUGGACAGCUGGCAGAAGGAGCGCACGCACCGGCCGAGCUUUGCGUCAAUAGUCAAGACCCUGGACAAGCUCAUCAGGUGUCCGGAUACCCUUCGCAAGAUCGCCCAGAACAGACGCCCACCUGCACAUAAUCCUUAUUACGUCCCUGUGACGUUUAGAGCUCCUCAGUGGGUUUCAUUCCAUCACGAGUAACUCCUCGGUGCUGGAUUAGUUUUUAACACAAACUCACUCUUUCUGUCAAGGACGGCUAACCCAUUAGCGCCUGAUGCGCCAGACAUGACCCAGUUCACAUCCGUCAGUGAUUGGCUCAGUUCCAUCAAGAUGACCAGGUACCUGGAGAACUUUGAGCGAGCCGGGAUCACUAGCAUGGAGG